GUGGGGAAUAUUGGACAAUGGGGGGAACCCUGAUCCAGCAAUGCCGCGUGAGUGAUGAAGGCCUUAGGGUUGUAAAGCUCUUUUACCAGGGAUGAUAAUGACAGUACCUGGAGAAUAAGCUCCGGCUAACUCCGUGCCAGCAGCCGCGGUAAUACGGAGGGAGCUAGCGUUGUUCGGAAUUACUGGGCGUAAAGCGCACGUAGGCGGUUACUCAAGUCAGAGGUGAAAGCCCGGGGCUCAACCCCGGAACUGCCUUUGAAACUAGGUAACUAGAAUCCUGGAGAGGUGAGUGGAAUUCCGAGUGUAGAGGUGAAAUUCGUAGAUAUUCGGAAGAACACCAGUGGCGAAGGCGGCUCACUGGACAGGUAUUGACGCUGAGGUGCGAAAGCGUGGGGAGCAAACAGG
rnacentral:rRNA from 1 species